rnacentral:RNase_P_RNA from 1 species
GAAGGCGGCUGGGAGGUCGCCGGUGAACAAGCACCGUUCACGGGAGGAAAGUCCGGGCUCCGCAGGACAGGGAGGUCGUUAACAGCGACCCGGGGUAACCCGAGGGAAAGCGCCGCAGAAACCACACCGCCGAUGGCUUGUCUCCUCCCCUUACGGGGCGGGGGCGGCACAGGUAAGGGUGAAAUCGUGGGGUAAGAGCCCACGCGCGACAGCCGGGUGACCGGCGGCGGGGCAAGCCCCUCCCGGAGCAAACUCGAAUAGGGACAUCGUCGAGAGCGGUCCGCUCGAUCGCCGGGACUUCGGCCCCGGCGCGGUGUCUGGGUGAGAGUGCUCGAGCCGCCCAGCAAUGGUCGGCCUAGAGGAAUGAUCUUCGCCGGCGUCCGGGCAACCGGGCAUCGGAACAGAACCCGGCUUACAGGCCGCUCCAAGA